rnacentral:sRNA from 1 species
AUGGGAGAUGCUGAAGCAGGCAAGAAGACCUUUAUUCAGAAAUGUGCUCAGUGCCACACAGUGGAAAAAGGUGAAAAACACAAGACUGGUCCAAAUCUCUGGGGCCUCUUUGGCUGAAAAACAGGAAAAGCACCAGGAUUUUCUUAUACAGAGGCAAACAAAAACAAAGGUAUUGUAUGGGGAGAAGAGACUCUGAUGGAAUAUUUGGAGAACCCAAAGAAAUAUAUCCCUGGAACUAAAAUGACCUUUUCUGGUCUUAAAAAGAAGAGUGAGAGAGAAGAUCUUAUUCAGUAUUUGAAAUGGGCAACAUCUUCA